rnacentral:misc_RNA from 1 species
AGAGAGGGGUGUUUUCACCUGCUAAAGAAAGUUUCUUUCUGGUGCCUAACACAUUUGCUGGUAGAAACCAGAAUUCCUUCACAGUUCAUCCAAUAAUAUAGAUUGUGAUUGAUAAUUAUCCUAACUUAUUCAAUCCUUGCUUCUUCUGAAGCUUCCAAUGGGCGUGCGACUAUGGCGUUACGCCAAGGAACAAGCAGCAAGAGGAAGGCUGCCAAUAUUUGAUUUUUCAAAAAAGCGUGUGAUUACUGGUGAUCAUGGCAUUCCUUUAGGUGGCAUUGGUGCAGGAAGCAUUGGAAGAAGCUACAAAGGCCAGUUUCAAUCCUUUAAACUAUUCCCAUUGAUAUGUGGAGAAAGCCCUGUUUUUGCAAAUCAGUUUUCUGUCUUUGUAUCUCGCCCAAAUGGUAAGAAGUUUUCAACUGUAUUAUGUUCAAGCAGGCCAGAGAUACCCAAAGAAAGCAGGAGCUCAGGCAUUGAAUCAUGGGAUUGGAAUCUGGAAGGUGAGAAGUGUACAUACCAUGCUUUGUUUCCAAGGGCCUGGACAACCUAUGAAGGUGAGCCAGACCCAGAACUUAAAAUUGUUUGUCGUCAAAUCUCACCUUUCAUUCCCCACAACUACAAAGAAAGCAGCUUCCCUGUAUCAGUGUUUACAUUUACGCUAUCUAAUCAUGGAAGGACUUCAGCAGAUGUCACCUUGCUGUUUACUUGGGCUAAUUCUGUUGGUGGGGACUCUGGAUUUUCUGGUCAUCACCUCAACUCAAAGAUAGUGAAAGAAGAUGGAGUGCACGUAGUCACUUUAUACCACAAGUCAGCAGAUAGGCAGCCUCCCUUGACUUAUGCCAUUGCAGCACAGGAGACACCUGAUGUACAUGUAUCAGAAUGUCCCUGCUUCCUUAUAUCUGGCAAUUCCCAGGGUUUCACUGCAAAAGAUAUGUGGGAUGAAAUUAAAAGGAACGGGACGUUUGACAACCUAGGCCACGUGAAAACUUUACCUUCAGAACCAGGAUCAUCAAUUGGAGCAGCAGUAGCAGCCUCUUUGACAAUUCCUCCUGAAUGCAUCCGCACUGUAACAUUUUCGUUGGCAUGGGACUGUCCAGAAGUAAGAUUCAGUGAAAGAAGCUAUUACAGGCGUUAUACAAAAUUCUAUGGCACUCUUGGGGAUGCAGCUGCUGAUAUUGCACAUGAUGCUAUUCUUGAGCAUACUAAUUGGGAAUCUCAGAUAGAGGCAUGGCAAAGACCAAUUCUUGAAGACAAGAGGCUUCCUGAAUGGUAUCCUAUCACUCUCUUUAAUGAGCUCUAUUAUCUUAAUUCAGGGGGGACAGUUUGGACAGAUGGAUCACCUCCAUUCCAGAGUUUAGUAAGCAUUGGGGGAAGGAAGUUUUCCCUUGAUAGUUCAGGGGCAGGUUUGAAGAGCAUUAUUGAUGUAGCCCAUCAAAAUGACACUUCUGUUGACAUUCUUGGAAGGAUGACUUCAAUGCUUGAGCAAAUUCAUACUCCCGUUGCAUCAAACUCUGCUUUUGGAACUAAUUUGCUUCAAGAAGGAGAAGAAAACAUUGGUCAAUUCCUUUAUCUUGAAGGGGUAGAAUAUCAAAUGUGGAACACCUAUGAUGUUCAUUUCUAUUCUUCUUUUGCAUUGGUUAUGUUAUUUCCCAAACUUGAACUGUGUGUUCAAAGAGACUUUUCAGCAGCAGUAAUGAUGCACGAUCCCAGUAAGAUGCAACUUCUACAUGAUGGCCGAUGGGUCUGCAGAAAGGUCCUUGGAGCUGUUCCUCAUGAUAUUGGAAUGAAUGAUCCAUGGUUUGAAGUGAAUGCCUAUAACCUUUAUAAUACUGAUACAUGGAAAGACUUGAAUCCAAAAUUUGUUCUCCAAGUUUAUAGGGAUGUGGUUGCCACUGGUGACAAAAAGUUUGCUGAAGCUGUAUGGCCUUCGGUUUAUGUUGCGAUGGCUUUUAUGGACCAAUUUGACAGGGAUGGUGAUGGGAUGAUUGAGAAUGAUGGCUUUCCUGAUCAGACAUAUGAUACAUGGUCUGCAUCUGGUGUGAGUGCAUAUAGUGGUGGGUUAUGGGUGGCAGCCUUGCAGGCCGCAUCAGCCUUGGCAAGAGAAGUUGGCGACAAAGUUUCUGAGGAUUAUUUUUGGUCUAGGUUUCAGAAAGCAAAAGUUGUGUAUGAGAAAUUAUGGAAUGGCUCUUACUUCAAUUACGACAAUAGUGGUAGUAGUAACAGUUCAUCUAUUCAAACUGAUCAAUUGGCUGGACAAUGGUCUGUUUCAUUUGAUGUAACUUCAUUAACCUGUUUUGAAUAUCAAAUGGUUUUGGCUCAUCUGGGAUUUGUUUUUACUAAAAUAUAGAUUUCUUGGUUAGCAUUUGAAGUAUGUUUCUUUUUUUAAAAGCAAAUUAGACCUUAGGCUUGAUAAUUUUAGGCUGGUCUUAUAUUGUGCUGCACAUUAUUGAUGUUUAUGGCAGCAUAUGGUGAUGGGUUAAACUUACGUAAUGAUCAUGUUGUAGGUAUGCGCGAGCAUGUGGACUUCUGCCGAUUGUUGACAAAGAAAAAGCAAGAAGCGCACUAGAAAAGGUUUAUAAUUACAAUGUCUUAAAAGUGAAGGAUGGGAAACUAGGGGCUGUAAAUGGAAUGCUACCUGAUGGAAGAGUUGACCUGACAUCAAUGCAGUCAAGAGAGAUAUGGUCCGGAGUCACAUAUGCUGUUGCUGCAACAAUGAUUCAGGAAGAUUUGACGGAUAUGGCAUUUCAUACUGCAAGUGGGAUCUAUGAAGCUGCUUGGUCUGAAAGGGGACUUGGGUAAAAUACCUUUUCUUUCUUGUUUUUCUUGUACAAUUAAUAUGACUACUAUGAAAACUUUGGCUCUCCGAUAGAGUUAACUAAAACAUGUAAUUAAGAAACCAUGAUCUCUCAUUUUCAGUUUUACCAUACAGUGGCUCAUCUGUUUUCUGUAACACCAUGAGUACUUUUAUCAUGCUUAAAAGAGACAGAAAUGCACGGCACACUUUCACAUACGCUGAUACGCAAAGCUAACUACCUAACAUGCUGUUCUCUUCGUAGUUAUGCGUUCCAAACACCAGAAGGUUGGAACACCGAUGGCCAGUAUAGAUCUCUAUGUUACAUGCGCCCUUUGGCCAUUUGGGCAAUGCAGUGGGCUCUGUCAAGACCAAAACCUGGGAAGGAGGAAAUGAAAUUAGAAGUGAAGGAAGAUUAUCAGCUUCCACACCAUGCUGGAUUUACUAAAGUUGCUCGUCACCUAAGGUUGCCAGAAGAGGAAUCAUCUGUAAGUCUUAUCCAGUCGUUGUUUGACUACACAUGCAAGAAGUUGGGUUAUAGUUGAUUCUUGUAAUUGAUUUUUGUGUAUGGGGACGGAAAUCAUUCAAACACAUCAAAUGCACACUUGCUUUUGUUGUUAGCUAUUUUGAUCUAAGAUUAUUGUUUGAAGCUUUGUUAAAAAGCAAUGUUAUGGAGAAAUUAUUCAAUGUACAUGAACAUUCACAAAUAUAUGGGAUCCGCUUGAAUUGUGGAGGGUGGAUCUCAUAUAGAUGUGAGAGACGAUAUAUUAUUUAUAUAAGUGCAUCUGAUUUUAACUCAAAAA